AAAAGCCUGUCAGAGACACCCGGAAGAUCGACGUGACCCCGGAUGGGAACAGCCAGCAAGGAGCUAGAGGUCACACUUCCGGCGGCCGCCGCAACCCCCUUCUCCCGUCUCUAUGCUCGAAUGCGCAUGCGGACGCUCAGCGGCUGCGUGCGCUCCUGGAAAGAAGUUAGGAUUCUCCAGAGGCUAGAGGGAACCAGCUAACCGCAGACGGUUACGUCUGGGCCUCUUCCUGAGCUGAAGUGCGCCAUCCUAGUUGGUGUGAGAUGGUAUCUCAUUGUGGUCUGCAGUGGUUUGCUUCUGAACAAUCAAAGCAAUUGUCACACAAUGAAAAAGAAGUAGACUGCCCGGAGCCCGGCAUUUCUCAAGCUGAAAGAACUGAAGGAAAAAUUCCAGCCUCGAGUUGCAAUAGUGAAAGAUGAAAGGAAUACACAGAGUUAUUAUACCAAAAAGAAUUAGUCGAUGCUCAACCAUUUCAAGAGGUAGCAUAUGAUCAGGAACCACUGGUACUGAAGGAAGAAGUCCAAGCUGCUCUGAAGGCAUUGGCGAAAAACAAGGCUCCAGGAAUUGAUGGAAUAUCAGUUGAGAUGUUUCAACAAACGGAUGCAGCGCUGGAGGUGCUCACUUGUCUAGUCCAAGAAAUUUGGAAGACCACUACCUGGCCAACUAACUGGAAGAGAGCCAUAUUUAUGCCUAUUCCCAAGAAAGGUGAUCCAACUGACCGUGGAAGUUAUAGAACAAUACCAUUAAAAUCACACAAAAGCAAAAUUUUGCUGAAGAUCAUUCAAAAGGCACUGCAGCAGUGUAUCACCAGGGAACUGCCAGAAAUUCAGGCCGGAUUCAGAAGAGAACAUGGAACCAAGGGUAUCAUUACUGAUGUCAGAUGGAUUCUGGCUGAGAGCAGAGACCACCAGAAGGAUGUUUACCUGUGUUUUAUUGACUAUGCAAAGGCAUUUGACCAUGUAGCUCAUAACAAAUUAUGGAUAACAUUGCAAAGAAUGGGAAUUCCAGAACACUUAAUUGUGCUUAUGAGGAACCUGCAUAUAGAUCAAGAGGCAGUUGUUCGGACAGAAAAAAGGGAUACUCAGUGGUUUAAAGUCAGGAAAGGUAUGCGUCAGGGUUGCAUCCUUUGACCAUAUCUAUUCAAUCUGUAUGCUGAGCAAAUAUGCUGAGAACCUGGACUAUAUGAUGAAGAACGGGCAUCAGGAUUGGAGGAAGACUCACUAACAACCUGCAUCAUGCAGAUGACACAACCUUGCUUGCUAAAAGUGAAGAGGACUUGAAGCACUUACUAAUGAAGAUCAGAGACCACACAGCCUUCAGUAUGGAUCACACCUCAACAUAAAGAAAACAAAAAUCCUCACUACUGGACCAAUAAGCAAAAGCAACAUCAUGAUAAACAGAAAAGACUGAAGUUGUCAAGGAUUUCGUUUCAC